rnacentral:rRNA from 1 species
AUUGAACGCUGGCGGCAGGCUUAACACAUGCAAGUCGAGCGGAGAGAGGUAGCUUGCUACUGAUCUUAGCGGCGGACGGGUGAGUAAUGCUUAGGAAUCUGCCUAUUAGUGGGGGACAACAUUUCGAAAGGAAUGCUAAUACCGCAUACGUCCUACGGGAGAAAGCAGGGGAUCUUCGGACCUUGCGCUAAUAGAUGAGCCUAAGUCGGAUUAGCUAGUUGGUGGGGUAAAGGCCUACCAAGGCGACGAUCUGUAGCGGGUCUGAGAGGAUGAUCCGCCACAAUGGGACUGGGACACGGCCCAGACUCCUACGGGAGGCAGCAGUGGGGAAUAUUGGACAAUGGGCGGAAGCCUGACUCAGCCAUGCCGCGUGUGUGAAGAAGGCCUUAUGGUUGUAAAGCACUUUAAGCGAGGAGGAGGCUACUUAGUUAAUACCUAGAGAUAGUGGACGUUACUCGCAGAAUAAGCACCGGCUAACUCUGUGCCAGCAGCCGCCGUAACAC